GGAAGUCCCUACAAACCAUAUUAAAUGCUAUGUGAAUUAUAUCUCAAAUCUGCUAUUAAAAAAAGAAGCACAGCUACCAGUUCUUAAAAUAUGAACCUUAUAUAAAUCAUGGUUUUUAAAAAAUGUCAUAAAUAUCAUGAGAUAACACGAAAAAAGAAUGUUUGACUUGAUGUUUGAUUACAUUAAGAAAUUAUGAGAGAUAUAUACCUUUUCUUUUAGUAGGACAUAAUUUAAAAAAUUUACAAGUGAUAUGAUGUCUGGGAUUUGCUUCAAUUAAUAGUGCAAAGGAGAGGUGAUAAUCCAAACAAAACUAAGUUGCCCAGGUCUUGAUAACUGUUGAAGGUAUACUGAGUCUGCUAUAUUAUUCUCCCUACCUCAGAUGGGGAGCCCUGCAGGGCUAUGUGACCUCAGGCAGUCCUGACCCUCUGUGCCUCAGGGUGCAGAGAGGUAUUCAAUCAGGCUCCCAAUUCCUGUGGUGCUAUCCCCACUGGUUCCCACCUCCCUGGCGCCUUUCUUCCUGCAGGCUCAGGUUCUGUCUGCAGAAUUUGGCAAAUCUGAGCCUGGUUUCAUAAAAAGAAGUGUUUUUUUUUUUUUUUUAAAGAAAGAAAACAAAAAGCAGCCUCACAUGACUGUACUACCCUAUACCUAUUAGAUUUACAUGGAUUAACAUGCUUGAUGACACACAGGGUGGGUGAGGCCAGAGUCAGCAGCUAUUCUCACGCUCCACAGAGGGCAACUGAGCAAUGCCUUUUCAAGUCAGAAGACCCACCAUUCUCCCAAGGAACAUGCUGCUCUCUAGUUCCUGGUGGGAUGUAAUGUCUAUCCAUGUAAUUCACUGCCUCCACCAGCCUCUAAUGCUUGUUGUUCGUUAUAGCAAAGGACAAAACCUGCUAAAAUGUUCCUGACCAGAGGCUGGUUACGUUGAGGAUGCUUACUUCUUGAAGAGAAGUCCUUACAUUAAAAAGUAUGAAGAAGUUCUACCACGAUGGGGUGUGGAGGUCACUCCUGGGGUCAGGAACAGGGACCAGAAAGGGAGGCAAUGGGUGACCAUUUAGGUGAAAACCAAGGAUGCAUGCACACACCCAUUCUUGGGUGAACUCCUGGGCAGUGUGUGGAAAGCACUGGAGACCUAGAUGGUCCCUGUCGAAAAGCUAGGACUGGGUAGGACAGUAGAGGGACAGACCCAUCACCUGUACUUAUCAAUUCUUCUCCUCUGAAAGUGGGUCCAACCCAACACAGCAACAUUUUUAAAAAGGAGCCUCAGUCGAGCUUAGCAGAUUGUGGAUCUGGAAGAUUCCGGGGACCUCCUAGAGCCUGGUCAGCAAGGGGUUAAGGGUGGAAGCCCAGUGGAGUGGGCCACGGGGGGAGUCAUGAGUGUGGACCCUUCCUGGGCAGAUUGGACUGGGAGUGGACAAGAUAGCCAAGUGUCACAGGCAGAGAACCUCUGAAUUACUGGAUCAUAGUGUUCAGGAGCAGGCACAGGAGCUGGGGCUGUGCCCGGGUACUGUGCCCACAUAGCCUAAGCUACUUAUCAGUAAAAGCCACUGAUAAGGGCUGGCACAAAGAGCAAUUACCUUUGCCCUGAAGGCCAAGGCAUACCCUCACCAAGGGUGGGUGCACGGGGUGAAGAGGAUGUGGUAGUCUCUCCUGCCAGAUGUGGCUGCUGGGGAUGGGGGCCUCCGUAGCCUGAGCCAGUAACCUUGCCUACAGCUCGGUGGAGAGAGGCUCAGAGGCUGUCAAGACGUCCCACGGACAAGGGUGCAACGCUCAGAGCCAAACGGUGGCAGGAAGAAUUUGUCCAAGUCCUACCCCGGUCCCUACGUCGCCCUGCGCGGGAGCCUCACCCUGGCCCGGGACGAGGAGAAGCAAGAACCCAAAGACCACGGAACUCAGACGCAAGCGAGGCCCGUCCGGCUUCAUCGUGAGUUCAAAAGUCUUUUCUGCACUACCGGCGGGCACGCGGCUUUUCAUCAACAGGCUGCGCAGGGACUCGACCAGUCAGUGCCUCGCCCAGGCCAGGAGUUUGGCCUGGGUAGGGCGUAGGCGGGAACAAAGGUAUCGAUUUCCUGGGUUCACCUUCAUCCCCUUAUUGUCUCUGGUCUGAGAGUCUCCGUGAGCCCCCCGCCCUA